AGAGGAGCAAGGCCGGGUGCUCCGUGCUGGUCAUAGGUGCUUGAGACACCUAGAAGAUGGUUUCUGGUGGCAUUUGCAUUCAGCAAGGAGGAAGAGGAUCUGAGAACUUCAGCCCUGAUUUUCUUUCCCAAAGGCCGCAAGUCUGAGGGGAAUGACCAGUGCUUCCACUGGACCAUUAGAAUACUACAAGAAGAUACAGCAGAGAUGGUUUAUAAGCCAAGUACAGAUUUCUCAGCAAAAUUAAGCAUGACUGAAUCAAGAGCUCCAGCAUGUUCCUUAGGAAGAGGAGAUUCAAUUAACAGGAAGGAUAAUGAAAAAGGCACUCAAAUAAUAACUGUCCUCCUUCUCAACUUUUUAUACAGCUUUGUCUUUUUAGCAAAACAAGAUUUCAGCUAAAAAAAAAGAAAUGCUGGACACUUAAGCAGCUUGUUAAUAAAAUUUCCCCAGCUGGUUUUAUUAACUUCAUUUAAGCACAUUGUGGUUUGCAUUUUUAUAAGGCUAAUGGGUCCUGUUUGGUAAUUUAUUGGAAUGAUGCUCCAUUUCAGCUUUACACAUUUUUUAAAGCUGUUAUUUAUGGUUUACUUUUUCAACAAAGGGGCCAUUUGGGUUUUUUUUAUGCCUUUUUAUUUAUGGUUUACCAUGCUAACCCUGGAGUUUGUUAACAUAACAUCAAAAAUAUACAUUCCAAUUGACUUCCUGUUCCUGAGAGUGAUGUUUGAAUGGCUCGAAUAAAAACAAGCAGAGGAAUGGAAACGGAGAUCAGGUACAGCAAAAAAAAAAAAAAAAAAAAUUCUAGAAGGAGGCAAGAUUAAAAGAUAAGGAAAUAACAAAAGCCAAGUUCCUUGGGCUAACUUACAAGCACCGAGCCAUUUCUAUAAAAGUUUAAUUGCCCCCAUAAAAAACCCUCUAUGUACUCAGAACAUAUUAAAACAGGCUGCUUGUGUGGUCAUGCUAAUUGUUCCUAGAGGCCUUUAUGUAAUUCUGAAUCUGCUCUUUAUUGGGAGUGUGUGCUGCCGAUGGUCCUGAUCCAUACAUCUACAAGCAUAACUUUAAACAUGAGUAGUCCCAAUAACUUUAAUGCAUUUACAUACUUAAAGUAAGGCUCUGCUUAAGUUUGUGAAUAACAUCAUGCAUUAUACAGGGUUAAGCUAAGGUGUGAAUUUAAACUGAUUAGUUAACUUUCCAUGCAGAAACUCUUAUUCUGGUAUAAGAGUGCCGUUUUUAUUUAUUUAUUUAUUUGUUUUAGCUUAUGUCAUUUGGGAAGGAGUUUAAGCUAAACUGAAAGAGCCACUGUUAUACUGGAAUAAGAGUGUGCACAUGGGGAGUUAUACGGCUUUAAUUGUACCAGUAUAAUUAUAGCAGUAAACUUGCCUGUGUAGACAAGCCCUUUAAAAUAUGUCUAUCCCAUUUUUAGUGAUCAUGCACACCAUAUUGCUUGUAAUUGGUUGCUUACGGAGGAAAAUCUGACGAAACAGUUAGGCGCUACUGUAAA